GCUGUAGCCCAGUGAUAAGAGCCUCUGCUUUGCAUGCAGAAGGCCUCCGGUUCAAUACCUGACAUCUACA